rnacentral:tRNA from 1 species
GCCGGCGUACAAGGACGCGGACGGAUGGCGGAGGCGUGUGUCCUUUCAUCUCACAUUGCAUUUCACGCAUUCGCUCUCACGUCUUCCGCCGUCACGCCGUCCGCUGCGGGUUCGAAUCCCGCCGCCGGCG